rnacentral:rRNA from 1 species
UACGUAGGGUGCGAGCGUUAAUCGGAAUUACUGGGCGUAAAGGGCGCGCAGGCGGCGAGUUUUGUCAGGCGUGAAAGCCCCGGGCUCAACCUGGGAACUGCGCUUGAAACGGGCUUGCUAGAGAUCGGGAGAGGAGAGUGGAAUUCCCAGUGUAGAGGUGAAAUUCGUAGAUAUUGGGAAGAGCACCAGUGGCGAAGGCGGCUCUCUGGACCGACACUGACGCUGAGGCGCGAAAGCGUGGGGAGCAAACAGG